rnacentral:misc_RNA from 1 species
UGCUUAUUUUAGCCUUCACAAAGCCUUAAAUUUCAAUAUUAAUUCUGAGACCUGCAGGUGUCAUGCAUCACUGUGAUACUAGUUAUGAUGGAGAUUGUCUUGGUGUGCUUGGAUGUCCAUUUACCUGUAACUUUUGGUUAUGCUGAAAAAUUUUGGAAAACUUCCUGGAGUGAUUGUAGCAUGUGCAAACUUAUCCACUUGCUUUGAUGAAAGUUGGUACUUUCUGUUUUAGAAAGAAAACCCAAGUUAUUUUGUUUUCUUUCUGCAUGAGUUUUCCCUAUGUGACUUAAGAUUGGCUUUAAUAAUAUGAGUAGACUAAAAACUUUUGCAUGAAUUAAGUUUGAGGUAGGUGCAUAUUCAUUCACAUCAAACUUUUUGAAGCUUAAUAGUUAAGUUUUCUAGAUUUUGGUUCUCUUAUGUUCUUACUGUCCUCUCAUGUUUACUCAGGGUAACUUUGAUCUGGUGGGAA